GUGAAUCAUCAAAUUUUUGAACGCAAAUUGCGCCAUUUGGGGUAGGCAUGUCUGUUUGAGGUCACGUUUUAACAAAUAAUUUGCAGCGUUUUUUGUUGCACACGUUGAUGAGCUUUCCAAGAAUUUUAAAUUUUUGGUGGCGCAUAGUGAACAGCGUGAAAGUUUUUUUCGGUUCGAGUGUAGGAAUAUCUUUGCUUGGGUUGUGAAAAAAAAUAAUCGCGCAAUGGGUGUGGAAAUUUCUUUUUAUCCCUGCCCAAAUGCCACUGUUUAUCACUAAA
rnacentral:misc_RNA from 1 species